rnacentral:lncRNA from 1 species
GGGAGGAGGCUGCUGGACGGCUCUGCCCGGCACCGCCAGCUCCAUUCAUCUCUCCUCCCUUCUCCCAGCAGCGGUGUCCACGUCCGUGUUCAUCGUGGCGAUCCUGAUCCUGCUGCUGCUCUUGUACCACCGGGACCCCUUGUGCUGCCAGUUCCUCUGCUCGUGCCGCUUCUUCCAGAGUCCGAGCCAGUAUGACUGCCCCCCUCCGUACUUCAGCAGCAGCCAGCGGCUGGUGGGACCCCAGCAUGGAGCGUCGCGACUGGAGAGCGCUGCCGAGAACCCCGGCAUGCAGGGAGAUGAGCUAUUCUGCGUUGGACCCCCAAGCAGCUACCAGCUCCCUUCCUGGGAGCAGCCUCGCUUGCCGAGCUAUGAGAGUGUGCGGAAGAAAGAUCGCCAGCGGGAAAUCCACCAGAUGAUCGCUGAGAGGUUUGGGCUGUGGGCAGACCCUUCCCAGGAGAUGCCGCCUCCCUACGAGCAUGCUCUAAGGCAUCCUCCAGCUUUCUCAGGAACAGUAGUAAGCUCAGAGACCUUGGACAGACAUGGCACGCCAGACCCUUUCCAGGUCCCUGUCAGCUACCAAACUCAGAGGAACACAGCAGUGGAACCGCCAAACCUGAGACCUUCACCCAGAUUUGCCAUCAGCUGA